UACGAGGGGGGCGAGCGUUGUUCGGAAUUAUUGGGCGUAAAGGGUGCGUAGGCGGUUCCGCAAGUCCUGUGUGAAAUCUUCGGGCUCAACUCGAAGUCUGCACGGGAAACUGCGGGGCUUGAGUGUGGCAGAGGGCAGUGGAAUUCCGGGUGUAGUGGUGGAAUGCGUAGAGAUCCGGAGGAACACCAGUGGCGAAGGCGGCUGCCUGGGCCUGGCCUGACGCUGAGGCGCGAAAGCGUGGGGAGCAAUCCGG
rnacentral:rRNA from 1 species